UUAUUGUGAGAUUGUGUAUUAUGUGGCUGUCACACCUAUCCUUGAAGAAUUGCACUGACCAGUGUGUUGAACCCCGCUUCAUGUUAGAGAGCAAGCCCAGCGGUCCCUGUGUUUGUGUAGGAGCUGUGGAGUUGAAGAUCAUGAGGGUCACUGUAUUUGCUGCUCAUGUGGGCCGCCUUUUCUGCACUGAAUUGGCACAGCUCCAUUAAGCAAAGCCAGACAGUGCUACCGUUGCUGGCUUGCGGGCACAGCAGCCAAGUCUACCCCCCCCCAGCCGCCAAUCAAAGGGGCGCUGCCGAAGCAGGGCUGCUCCUGCGAUAAAAGUGUAGGAAGCUCAUGGCUGCAGAGUAAUGCAGACAAAGCACGAGUGAGAGGGAGACAAAAGGGAUGGAGUCCCAGAAGAUGUGAUCCACCCUGUUAAAGGAAACGUCCGUAGCCUCUGCAGCUGUGUUUAUGCUGCUUCACACAAUAAGCACCAGCCUCUCAUUCCCCCGGGAGAUUUUUACAGCAUUAAUUCACUCUGCACAAAACCCAGCCUGCAAGGCUCCUCUUCAGCAGCGACCUUUUCAUCCCUCCAGCUCCCCCCGUUUCUGAGAACCCUGCCCGCAGGAGCUGCAUCCCUCUGGCUGACCUCCCAUUGCUCUCGAUCAAAUGUCACCUGUACCCGAUGAAGCAGACCCCGAAGUGCCGCGAAUGGAUCCCAGGAUUCUUAUUUUCCUUCUCUACGUGAUGAUCCUUCAUGAGCUGGUGAGUGGCUGGAUGGAGUACCAGAAGCAGAUAGCCAAACCGAAGAAGCAGGCGGGUCCAGUUUGGUCUUCUAGCAACACCACCAGAUCCAACCACUCCAGCUUCUCCAGGCCUCUGGUCCACUCAGUGCGCAGGGAGAGGUACAGGGACUGGAGGAAACCGGGGCGGAUCAUCCGGAAAGCAUGAGGAUGCAUCUGUUGGGGAGCAUGGGGAGAGAUUACUGAGCCAGAGGCAACCAUCCCUCAUGAGGUCUGCACCGACUUACCACCUGUCAGCAGCAGCUGGCAUGAGAGCAUCCUCCAGGCACCGUGAUCUGCAACCUGCAGCUUUCUCCUUUGCACUGAGCCUGGCACGGCCGAGAAGGAACCAGCCCCUUCCUCCUGGGAACCUGUCCCUGCGUGGUGAGGAGCCAGGGUGGAGACACCUCAGCCAGCAGCGGGAUCGCUGGAGGUGGGACUAGGCUUUUGCCACCCAACACAGUGAAGUGACUUUUCUUUCUUCUUCCCAAAGGGUCGAGUAGAUGGAGAGUAGAUUUCUUGGGGGAAGAAUGAAAUUUGCUCCUGCAUGGGCAAUCCUGGGAAGCCUCCAAAUGGUUUCAGUCUCCUCUCCUUCCUCCCAAGGACUGUGUGGCUAGUAAGCAGCAUUUCCCAAAGUGACUGGAAAGUCUUUGGUGUCCAGUUUGUCACCAUUCCCAGGAGAACUUGCCUCCACUGGGGCACCUGGAAGUCACAACACUUUGGAAAUGCUGGCUCCCCAUUAAGUCUCAUUCACUGGGAGUCUGUACAUUUUUUUCUGCUUUUCUUUACCUUUGUUAAAUGAGUUACUCUGAGGUGAAAGGAGAAAGCGCCCUGAACCAGUGAUGCAGAGUUACGCCACCAAAUGCAAUUUACUGCAAUGACCUUGUAAUUAGAUUUCUUUGGAGCAUUCCCAGCAGUCGAGCCAAAUGUAAGAGCAACUUUCUAAUGAGCAGAUAGAUGGGAAAGGAAUACAAUAUUGCUCUUGUAUUAAAGUCUGUGAUUUAGGCAUAAAAUCAGAUUUUGAGAGGCAAAAGUCAGUUGUCGCAUCCUGCCACCCCACAUAGCGGUUGUAUGCAGGAUGGGAAUUGCUGAGCGCAGGAGAGAUUCUGACACUGAGCUCCUAACAGCAAAUGUCCCUGGCCAAACUGCCUGCCUUAUUUGCUGAACAAAAUGUUUGGCUCAAAAGCAGCCUGUUUUUCUCGUUGCCAACCAUUUAUAAACCUGACUCAGGCUCACAGACGCAUUAUCCAGAAGUAGAUAGGGAAGAGAGUCGGAAUAGAUUAUGCAUUCAUUAUCCAGAAGUAGCCACCAGAUACAUUUGCACAUUUGUCUGCUGCUCAGUUAUUUGCAAAUUGUUCCUGUCGGUUAACACUGUGUUUGUUCAGUCACCCACGGCAGGAGUCACCUGGCCCAAGGUAGAGCUAUGCACCUGAGCUAGGCAUCCAGACCCCUGUGCUGCAGAGGGGCACGUGAGGGGCUGUGAUCCAUCUCCUCCAAAGUUAAACAUCAAGAGCAAGCUAGCUGAACCGUGCUUUUGAAGUGCCCCAUCCUCUAUUCCAGGCAGGCUGGAUAAGAAACUCAGAUGUCAACCUCUACUUUUAGGGGAGAUGAAGUUUUUGCCUUGGGAGGUUAAGUUCAUGCCUUGUGUUUGGAUAUUUUUGAAAAAGGAGAUAGGUGUAGCAGUUAACACUUUCUGCACAUUUCAAAGCAUAAACUCUCCGCAAAGAUGUGCCUCAGCUCUGUGACACUGUGGCUAUUUUCUGAGGCAUCCACUGCCUAUCCUAAUACAUGCAGGUACAUCCACAAGUAACAGAGCAACAAAUGGAGAAGGUGUCAGGAGGAAAAAUACUCAAAAAGUGUUUCUGGGUGGUGGGGGACUUUGCUUUCCUAGAGUUGAUUCUGCGCUGGUCUUAUGGGGGACGUGCAGCUGGAUGUUCUCCCUGCUCUUCUGCUAGAGUGUGUGUGAAUUUGCUGGGAGCACUUGCUAUUCAAAAAGUGUUUACAUUAAUUACUGAAGUGGUGCAGGAUAGGACUGGCCUCACUGCACAGGCUGGGCUCCCAGCCUCAAUGGGACAGACUGACCUGAGCAGGGACAGGUGGACCUGAAUGGGGCAGGCAGAUGUCCUGACUGCUGCACCCUUAAGGAGUGGUGAAGGGACAGGAACGCCUUGCUCUGCUGAUCAUAUGCUGGAUUUAGCACCAUAAAUAUCGUCGUGUUUACUUCCAAUAAACUCUUUUACAUACAUGGUGUUUAGAUUGUCUCCGUUCUCAUUCAGGCCUUGCAUCUCUACUAGUUUUGGCUUUCCCAGCCUGGGAGCCAGCAACGGCGGUGGCUGGAAGCCACCGCAAAGGGACAGCUGGUGGUGUAAGGGGUGAUCCAGUAUGGCCAAAAGCAUCUUUGAUGCUGAAUUUAUAGCACAAAUGUUUGUUCUCUCAUCCUUUAUGCAGAUGAACAUGUGACUGCAAACCAGAGUCUUGUUUUGGAUGGUUGUAGGCUUUGCUUUUUUUUUUUUUUUUUUUUUUUUUUUUUUGCAAAUAUUCAAGUUGCUCUGCAGCUCUGUUGGAGAAAGUCCUGCCCAAGAAAUGUACCUCGUAGUGGGAGCCGACGAUGGCAGAGAUCUUGGGAUCCACCAAUCUUCAGUGGUGUGGACCCCCAGAGACCUGAGGGAGCGAUGCAACCCAACGGCCUAAGUCCAGGCCUCUGCAGGGGCUCACCUUCAAGUUGGUAUUUGCACAAUUAACUGGGUUGGUCCAGGCUAACAAGGAUGCAGUCAAGGGUGGCCAGCCUGCAUCUGUUUGCUGAGGGGCUGUGCUCCACUCACCGGCAUCUCCUAGACCUUCCCCUGGUGAGAGCAACCCCAGAGGAUUUUGGAGGAUUUUGAGCAGAAGCAAGCUGUUCUCAUAAAUCAGCUGCUGCUUUUCCUGCCUGCAGCUCUCUGAGCUGCUGCAGUUUCACUACUGAGAUCUCCUUUCCACCGUGCAACCAGGGGGUCUCUGGAGCAUCUUCCUGCCCAUCAGUUCUUCUUCUCUUGGAAUCAGUUUCUAAAGGCAAAACUCUCUAUGGGUGUAGUCCCAUGCAAUGCUGUUGAGAUUUCAUAAGGGUGGAAACAGGUGAGUGUUUUUUACAUAAAGAGUGAGCAAAAUCCCUGUAAUGCUCAGAGACGCAGGGCUGGAUGCCGGUUCUGAUUCCUCCCUUCCCUUUAAACAUCCAGAUUAUCUCUAAUUCUAUUGCCGUUUUCCAGGUAAGUGUGUGACUAACGGCUUGUGUGAUUCACCUUAAGUGAAAAUUAACUCUUUUUUUUCCCUGCUUUGCCUUGUUAAGUUAAAGCAGAUUUCAAAUUUUUGAGUAAUUCUUAGGUGUUUUCUUCUUACUGUUCAAAAUUUCUCCCCUCAGAGUACAGAUCCUCUGCCUCUUUCAUUAAGAAAUUAUUGCAUAUAUUAAAACUUGCUUUCUAUAGAGUGGGCAUCAAAUCCAGGCCAUGGUUAGUGUGGGGAAAAUGAAGCCCAUGACCUUGUGGAUUUUGGUCACCCUGAGAGCUGAGCUGGUCAUUGCCGCCACAGCAGUUCAGCUUUGGGUAGAAAAGAAAGGAUACACUUGUUGCCAGCAUGGCUGCUCACUGCAACGGGGUGGGACUUCUGGAGCUCUGUGGAUAAUGAUGCCAGAAGGCAGCCACAAAACAUUAUUAAAACAUCCUUAAUUUGGAAAGGUUCACUUUUGGGGAAGAGUAGUGAAAGACAGAGGAAAGCAAGCAGUUACUGGCCGCAAUAGCCGUCGACCUCUCUGUAUUAGAAGCCACCGUCUUUAGGUGAUGGCUUGGGAAAUAAUAAUCAGCAUUCCCCACCCCCCUGGGUUAGACUCUCAGUUUUGCCAAAAUGGGAGUUAAAGGCUAGAUUAAGGAAAUGACAUCCUGUUUCAGCAAGGCUUGGGGAAGCCCUGGUGAGGAUGAACUGGUUCUUGACCCCUCCUGAGCUGUUCAAGCCACGUUUCUUCAUCAGCUGCCACAUUCAGCCACCCUGAAGCACACAGGAAAGUGCAGUUUAAUUGCAAGUUUCUCUGGCUGACCGAAGCCAGGAGAGACCAAAGGUGCCUCUAUCUACAAAUGCAUCAGAUGUAAAAAUGCCUUUAAGCCUGUUUUCUCCCCAGAGUCUGUCCCACAUCCCUCGGGAUGCGGUGCAGAGCUGCAGAGCUGCGAGCUGUGACUGCAGCAGGGCAGGCUGAGAGCAUCUUCCUGGAAAUGGCUCAUUACACGGAGCCAUUAUCUCAAAGUGGCCCUGAGCAUUUUGGGGAGAUGCUGGGAUGCUACGUGGUCAUACCGCAAAGGCAGAGUGAGCAAUGACCAGUACAAGAGCCAGAGUGUAAAUCCAAGUGCUUGAAUAUAAUCAAAAGUGUCUGAUUUCAGAAUCAUUCACAUAUGGAUGUGAGGCUCCCAAAUGGCCAGGGAAAUAUUUUACUGCUGGUGAGACACCAAUGGGCUUAAAAGCUGCAUCCCAAAAAGGGACAGGCUCGGUGCCUGCCAGGCAGAGCCCAGUGCUGCCAUGACAGUCUCACUCCUCGCCCCAUCGUCGCUUCUGCCAACAGGAGCCUGUCACAAUUUUGGGGCACCCCAUGGUUGAGAUUUUGCUCAAUGGAAAGAGCAGCUUUGGAGGAUGCUAUGCUCCCAACUGUUGGUGCCACUGGCAAUGAAGAGGUACCUAAAGGGCGUGGGUGGAGAGAGCAGCAUCAGCCACCUGCCCCAUGGUCCUCCCUGCAGGAGAGACACCCAACUUGUGCAGCGGAGAUGCUCCCUUCACCAGGCUGUGAAUAAACAGCAGUGUCUUGUACCCAACAGGGUGUCCUGCUUGACAGGGUAGUGGGAGAAGUUUGGGUAUGGCAGCUGAGCAAGGUGGAUGGAGGGUGCAUGGGGGCUGCUCUGUCUGCAGGGCUGGGAAGUCUGGCAGCGGGAGAGGGAGUAGGUCGGUGAGCCCCUUGCCAACUGCGCUGUAACAAAACCGGCUGAAAUAAUUGUAGUGUGGGUGAUGCUGGGAUUUCACUAGUGGUUUUAAAUAUAGAGACUUUUGGAGCCAAGCAGUAACAGCAGCAUCUAUUUCAUCUUCUCCCAUCAGCAGUUAGUAGUGGUGAGCAUUUAAGCUGCUCCUGUGGUUCCUUUGUAGCCCUUUCUUUUUCCUUUGCAGCACAAUCAGAGAAAGUCAAGCUGAGCAUGGCAGGUUUGAGUCUGAUUCCCACGAGGUCAUAUAUUUGCAUGUGAAAAGCAAGACUUGGCCCCUUGCACUGCCAGGUCUCCUCCUGUGGAGGCUAGGAUAAAUAGUGGUCAACCUGUGGCCACAGAUCUUCAGGAUCAGGGAUUGUUUGAAAACCUGUCUCUGCUGCUUCAGCUAUUGUUGCCUCAGCCCUAAGAUGAUGAGCUCAGGUGGUUUCACUGCUUUCUCUUUUCCAACCCACCCCUUGCAGGUCAGCACAGAGGGGUCUUCUAAGUCCUUGGAGCCGCUGGCCUCCCUCACCUUCACGAACACCAGCACAGGCUGCAUGCCCCAGGGGCUGCACCCCACCAUCCCUGCCCUGGGGACCCUGAUCACAGCAUUUGCCAAAGUGCCCAGCAAAAAGAUGAAACCUCAUCUUUCAAAACCCAGAGUGGUUGAAGUGGGAAGGGACCUCUGGAAGUCAUCUGUUCCAACCAGCCUGCUCAAGGAGCAUCAGAAAGAGAUGGUUCCCCAGGACCACAUCCAGGUGGCUUUUGAGCAUCUCCAAGGAUGGAGACUGCACAACAUCCCUGGGCAAUCUGUGCCAGUGCUUGGACACCCUUGCUGUAAAAAAAGUGUUUCAUGACGUUCAGAGGAAGCCUCCUGUGUUUCCAGUUGUGCCUCUUGGCUCUUGUUCUAUCACUGGGCACCACUGAAAAGAGCCUGCGUCCAUCCACUUUGCACGUUCCUUCAGGUAUUUCUAGACACUGAUGAGAUCCCCAUGAGCCUUCUCUCUUCCAGGCUGAACAAUCUCAUCUCCCUCAGCCUCUCCUCAGGCAUCACAUGCUACAGUCCCUUCGUCAUCUUUGUGGCCCGCCCUUGCAUUCUCUCCAGUAUGUACACGACUCAGUCUUGUCCUGGGGAGCCCAGCACAAGAAGAAGGAGCCGACAACACAGCGCUCCAGGUGGCUUGAGCAGCCUCGGGAUGCUACAGACACCGUCCGGCUGCAGGGCAAGACCCCGCCAACCAGCCCAGACGUUGCUUUCUGCAUCCGUUAUCUGGGCCCAGCUUUUUUUACGUGUUGAUCCCUCAGAUGCUUCAGGAGUUGCCACUGAUUACAGGAGCAGGCCCUCGUCACACUUGUGUAACUCCAGUGCCUCCUGCUUCUUGCCAGGGAGAAGUCAGAACUAGCAACAUUAGCCUUCCCUACCUUUGUGCUGUUGUUAGUGCCCUCGCUAUCGCUGGCUGAUACAGGGGCUGCUGCCGACAUCUUUGUUUCGGGCCUACUUA